UUGGGGGAUCCUCUGCGUCAAUCAAGCUAUGGCAGGGGAAAGCCGGAAGCCUUGGGAGUAGGUGGUAUUUCUCUUUCGAGUAACUUCGAACACAGGUUUAUCUUCUCCACGCACCUGAGAACAGGGAGAACAGGCAAUGUGGACUCACAAAACUGAGCUUAGGAAAAGAGGAGAUGCUUAGUCCCUUUGCGUGAGUGUGCAUCGAUCGAUGUCUAUGGCUGUCGUAGAGUGGCGAUGUGUCUGUUACGGUGUGCACAUAAUUCAUGCCUGUUUCUCAGAGCAGAAGCGUGGGGGUUGUUUUUGGCCAGAGCUCAGUUGAUUUGGGUUAUGCUCGCACAGCCUUCUGCUGGAGGCAAGAGAAUCUGAGCACUCCUCAGUGGCUGUGUUAAUGCCAAAGGCACCUGCGGUCCUGACCAGCAGAUGAGCGAGUGUGAAAGUCCCCUAGAGACCCCUGGGUUGCAGCGCCGGCUCAAGUGGUGGGUGCAGGACCCUGGCUCAGCAGUCAGUCUCUGCAGAGUAGGGCGGUGGAGAUGCGGGGAGGGGAAGGGAGCGGAGACCUGGGCACUGGUAGCGCCAACCCCACAGCUUGGCAAACCCGCCAGAGGCGCGGGGAAGUGCGUUAACCUACAUCACUGUGGCAGUAUGAGGUCCUGAGUUUGGAUGGGGGAGACAAAAACCACAGUGCAGGAUUUGGAGGGUCUGGCGUGGGAAGAGAAUGUCCCCUAUGUUAGCCUGUUAGCCUGCUCCCUAUACUCUCUAGUUUCCACCACGUUUAGGCUAGCGAUGCGAAGGACUGUAGAGUGCCAGUUGGGGACAAACACGCCAGAAGUUCCCUAAUGGAUCCUAGGACCCGCUCCUUCCCGAGCAGUCACCUUCCUGGCUGUAUCUAACUGAAGUCCUUUUAGAGCCCAGGACUGCUGCUCACCCUGCCGGAGUCCAGCCAGGAGGUUCAAGCCCCCAUUGGAGGGGGCAGGGAAAGGUUGUAGGCUCGAGUUCAGGCGUUAAAGAGAUCUUGACGCCAAACUCUCUCCAGUUUGCUCACACGUUCUGGGAGAAUCCAUUCUCCCUCAGUCUCCUUACCCCACCCCCACCCUGUUCCUCAGCAAUGACCUCAAGCCAAAGACAGGGAGUGGACUCCUUUCCUUGCCGCAGGAGUGCAGCUAUGACGGAAGACGCUCUGGAAGCUCGGUCAGAGCUCUGAUUGGCCGAGAGAUCUAAUGAGGACCCCCCACCCCCAAGACCAGAGAAUAAGAGACCAGGACUCUGGGGACAGCCGUGUGGUGUGUGCUCUUCUCCAGUGGAAGCUUCGCUCUCGCAGUGCCAACGCUCGGGUAACCAGUGGACCAUUCUUCUCUUUUUACAGAGACACCAUGGGCUUCUGGAAGUUCUUUACCUUUCUGGCUCUCAGCAGCGUGUGGAUCCUGUGCCUGGCCAGCAACCUCCAGGCAGCACCUCUCGGGUCAGCCUUGGAGAGCAGCCUAGACCUGGCUACACUCAGCGAACAGGAAAAGCGUCUUCUGCUGGCUGCACUGGUGCAGAACUACUACGAGCUGAUGAAGGCCAGGAAGCUGGAGCAGGAGGAGCAGGAGACUGAGAGCUCCAGAUGCUGCCUGUGUGCCCCAUGCCUGGAAACAGACCAACCCUGGUCCGGCUUCAGCACUCCCCAAGGAAAAGCAUGUUUUGACCUGCAUCCCCCUUGAGAAAUCCCUGAUAGCAUGAAAGACUGACAUGGAAUGCCAGAAAGAGUCACCCUUUUCCUCGGCCCUUCCCUGCACAGUCCUGGCCCACCGCACCCCCAAGCCUUCCCAAUGGAGUCUGUGUGAACUGACCUCCUACCACCCUCUGUCCCAACUUCUAGUCCCCUGACUGGUUUAACUUUCUGACUGCCCAUGGGAUCAGCUCCUGGUGGUAUGGGAAUCUAAAUACACGAGUUCUGGGCAUGUAAGUAGAGGAGCUGAACAACUUUACCACCUUCUCUGCUAUGGACUUCGGGCUUAAAACUCCGACAAGAAAAGAAUACCGUGGGUCACUUGCAGAGGGGCCUGAAGUGUCCAGGGUGCCACCAAGCGCUUCUGUGUCCUUCCUGGUUUCCUCUCUGGCUCCUACUUUCUCACUUGCUGCAUGCGCAUUCCUCUCUGGGUUCGAAGCUGGCAACAGCAGCUUCCCAUGUGACCAAGAAUGUCAGUGACUCAGGAUAGGAAGGGAGAGAACAGAAGUCAUAGGCCACCUUUGAGCUAUGGCAACAAGCAGCAUGCUAAGGACCAGAUAAGCGCUUCUGAGACGAUGCUGCCAAUGCUGUUCUUAGCUUCAGCAAGCAUCACUGCCCAGAAGAGAUCCUGCAACACUG